GACGAACGCUGGCGGCGUGCCUAAUACAUGCAAGUAGAACGCUGAAGAGAGGAGCUUGCUCUUCUUGGAUGAGUUGCGAACGGGUGAGUAACGCGUAGGUAACCUGCCUGGUAGCGGGGGAUAACUAUUGGAAACGAUAGCUAAUACCGCAUGAAAUUGCUUAUCGCAUGAUAAUUGAUUGAAAGAUGCAAUUGCAUCACUACCAGAUGGACCUGCGUUGUAUUAGCUAGUUGGUGAGGUAACGGCUCACCAAGGCGACGAUACAUAGCCGACCUGAGAGGGUGAUCGGCCACACUGGGACUGAGACACGGCCCAGACUCCUACGGGAGGCAGCAGUAGGGAAUCUUCGGCAAUGGGGGGAACCCUGACCGAGCAACGCCGCGUGAGUGAAGAAGGUUUUCGGAUCGUAAAGCUCUGUUGUAAGAGAAGAACGGGUGUGAGAGUGGAAAGUUCACACUGUGACGGUAGCUUACCAGAAAGGGACGGCUAACUACGUG
rnacentral:rRNA from 1 species